UACGUAGGGGGCAAGCGUUGUCCGGAAUUACUGGGCGUAAAGCGCGUGUAGGUGGUGGGACAAGUCUGCUGUGAAAGCGCCUGGCUUAACCGGGCGAGGUCGGCGGAAACUGUCCGACUAGAGGACGGUAGAGGGGGGUGGAAUUCCCGGUGUAGUGGUGAAAUGCGUAGAGAUCGGAAAGAACACCAACGGCGAAAGCACUCUGCUGGGCCGACACUGACACUGAGAGACGAAAGCUAGGGGGAGCGAAUGGG
rnacentral:rRNA from 1 species